rnacentral:rRNA from 1 species
CGGGGGGGGCAAGCGUUGUUCGGAAUUACUGGGCGUAAAGGGUGCGUAGGCGGCUCUCUAAGUCGGAUGUGAAAACUCUGGGCUCAACCCAGAGCCUGCAUCCGAAACUGGAGGGCUAGGGUUCUGGAGGGGAAAGCGGAAUUCCUGGUGUAGCGGUGAAAUGCGUAGAUAUCAGGAGGAACACCGGUGGCGAAGGCGGCUUUCUGGACAGAUACCGACGCUGAGGCACGAAAGCUAGGGGAGCAAACAGGAUUAGAUACCCUGGUAGUCCUAGCCCUAAACUAUGGAUACUUGCUGUGGGGGGGAUUGAAGCCCCUUGUGGCGAAGCUAACGCAUUAAGUAUCCCGCCUGGGGAGUACGGUCGCAAGGCUG